GUCAACGGGACAUUUCUCCUGUGCUCACUCCUUUUACUCCACAGAAAACACACUGAUUCUUUCAUUCUCUCUGCCAAACUGACUGCCCCCAGAUGGUCUGCUUGAGAGACAACACAGUACUUAAAGAGCAGAGAAAUGUGUAUAGUUUGAGAAGAUGGAAAACUGCAUCACUCUGCCUGGUACACAGGGAGGAGGAGUUGUCUUGUGUGUUCAGCACGGCUGUCCCUCAGAAAUGGAUUGUAAAUAACUUCAACAAUGAGACCUGAGAGCAGCCAAUUUCUUCAAAAUUAAAACUGAGUCUGCUUAAGGAUGUAAAACACCUCUCAAAGCUGUCUUCAUCAUUAAUACAUCUAAAGCUGAGUAUGCAUGGCUGUGGUGUUACUGUUCUUCAGUGUUAUCAUGCAGGAGUGGCUGUCUAUAGACUUACUGUGAAAUCUUUUCCAGAGUCAAAGCUAUUUAGAGAUUAAUGGGAAGGAAUUAAACACCUGAAGAUAGCUAUGGGGCUGUAAAAUGAGAGACACGGAUGAGGUGGAAACUGACC
rnacentral:lncRNA from 14 species